GCGCAUCAUUUAAAAUCUCUGGAUGUAGACAAAUUGUACUGGCCUUACUCAGUGCUGACACAACUAAACCCGGCCAUUUUUGCGCUAACGUUGAGGCUUGUGCCGGGAAAAAAUAACGUGUUUUUUUGUAAAAACUUUUUUACAGAAAAAGCACAGAUAGAAUAUUUUUAUGAUAAAAAUAUAUCUUCAUCGCAUUUUAAUGCCGUUAAUGAUGUAUUUUUUUGAUGUUUUAUGACAUAUUAGAUCUACUUUAUGUGGCACAUGAGCCCUCGCAAAUGUAUAAUAUAAACGGCAUCUAAAACGGAGUAGAAGUUUGGUGCCGUCGCAACAAUUGCCGGCGCGUAAAUGAGCUGUCUUUACUGUUCCCUUCUCGAAGCAAUUGACCGUGUACCAGCACACUGUCACUGACCAAAACCAACAAAAGUCAAAAUAAUCCUAAAUGAGCUGGAACGCAUGAUAACCUGUUCAUCCAGCUAUCCAAACUUUCGCAGC
rnacentral:lncRNA from 1 species